UCCUGGCAUAGCUCAGUGAGUACAGCAUGAGGUUCUUACUCUCAGGGUGGUGGGUUUGAGGCCCAUGUUGGGUG